UGCAACCUGGCCGGGCUGGCGCGCCAGAUCAGCCCCGGCCCCAGCAGCGCCAGAAUGAUUAUCAGAAUCAGCUGCGGGGCCGGUGCAAGGUAGCGAGUCGCAGGCUUGCCCUUAGGGAGCGAGCCAUACCUCAGGGCUUCGGAGGCUCCGUUUCUAACGUGCACACGGCACCCUCCGUGGACGAAAAAGCGCCGAGCCCGGCAGGGGCUGCACAGCCGUGUCCUGGCUCUGGAGACGGAACCCCACCGAGCCUGAGAGAGACACGCAGCCUCUGGGCACCCCAAGGCGGUGGGAUCCAGCGCCAAGGGCACAGUCAGCCCUGCUGGCCGCGAAGCCAGGAGCCGGCUCGGACUCGACAGCGGCUUUGAUGAUCGACAUGAAGAAAUUAUGCCUCCCACUCCACGUCAUGAAAGAUGCAGUCACUGAGGAUCCAAAAGGUUUAAAAAAAAAAAAAAGAAGAAGAAGAGGAAGAAGUAGCUCCUAAUGCUCCCCUCCAUGUGCCCGUUACAUUCCUUGAGAUGUUUUCCAGCAGGACCCAGAGGAAGUCUCUUUUGCUUCCAGACAUGAGAACACAAAUGGCUGAAUGGAUUUUUAAAAAUUGCCUCUAAAUAAAAAAUGAGCCAGGGGCCAGGCGCUGCUCUCGGCCUCACUUCCACUGCAAGCGAAUGGUGAGUUACAACAGCCCUGGACAGGGCGGGUUCCAACCUCGCUGCCAGGCCUGGAAAUAGCAGCAGGCCCAGGAGCAUGCCCAGAUCGCUACCUCUUUCCCUUGCUCAAUUAUUGAUGCUUUUUGUUUUUUAAUAUUUUACGUGGGCUGUGAAUCGGAAGGGGGAGGCAAGGUCAUUUCACGAAGCCGGGCCCUGAGAACCAAGUCGGCCACGUCAGAUGCAGACACUCUGCUUGUCCGGAAACUGCUUAUAAAUCUGGUCAAAUUUGCUGCUGCUCUUUGGGAAGGGGAUAACAGCGUGUGUGUGUGUGUGUGUGUGUGUGUGUGUGUGUGUGUGUGAGAGAGAGAGAGAGAGAGAGAGAUGCGUGCGCACACACACACACACAUAUGCUUAUGCAUACACAGCAUCCAGUGGCUUCUUCCAGGCAAUCCUGCUUCAUUAAAAAGCUGUUUAACAUUGAGGCUAUAUCAAUAAAGGCU